UACGUAGGGUGCGAGCGUUAAUCGGAAUUACUGGGCGUAAAGCGUGCGCAGGCGGAUCGUUAAGACAGGUGUGAAAUCCCCGGGCUCAACCUGGGAAUGGCGCUUGUGACUGGCGAUCUGGAGUACGGCAGAGGGAGGUGGAAUUCCACGUGUAGCAGUGAAAUGCGUAGAGAUGUGGAGGAACACCGAUGGCGAAGGCAGCCUCCUGGGCCAGUACUGACGCUCAUGCACGAAAGCGUGGGGAGCAAACAGG
rnacentral:rRNA from 1 species